GCAUAACGCGAAGAACCUUACCUACCCUUGACAUGUCAGAGAUCCCUGAGAGAUUGGGGAGUGCCGCAAGGAAUCUGAACACAGGUGCUGCAUGGCUGUCGUCAGCUCGUGUCGUGAGAUGUUGGGUUAAGUCCCGCAACGAGCGCAACCCUUGUCGUUAAUUGCCAUCAUUUGGUUGGGCACUUUAACGAGACUGCCGGUGACAAACCGGAGGAAGGUGGGGAUGACGUCAAGUCCUCAUGGCCCUUAUGGGUAGGGCUUCACACGUCAUACAAUGGUCGGUACAGAGGGUUGCGAAGCCGCGAGGUGGGGCCAAUCCCAGAAAGCCGAUCGUAGUCCGGAUUGGAGGCUGCAACUCGCCUCCAUGAAGUCGGAAUCGCUAGUAAUCGCGGAUCAGCAUGUCGCGGUGAAUACGUUCCCGGGUCUUGUACACACCG
rnacentral:rRNA from 1 species